rnacentral:rRNA from 1 species
CGCACGGGUGCGUAACGCGUAUGCAACCUACCUACUACAGGGGAUAACCCGGAGAAAUUCGGGAUAAUACCCCAUAACAUAUUUGGAUCUCAUGAUUUGAUUAUUAAAGAUUUAUCGGUAGUAGAUGGGCAUGCGUCCGAUUAGCUAGUUGGUAGGGUAACGGCCUACCAAGGCAAUGAUCGGUAGGGGUUCUGAGAGGAAGAUCCCCCACACUGGUACUGAGAUACGGACCAG